rnacentral:lncRNA from 1 species
AUAUAAGGAGACUAAGGACCUCAAAUCCCUCCGACGUGGGACAACUCAACAAUAUUUUCCUUUCACAAAAAUAUGACUCCGACAUACGAGAAAAAUUAUAGUAUAUGAAAAACACAUGUAUUACAUUUUUCAGUUUGACGAUUCUUGAGAAAAAGGGAUGGCAAGGCAAUAGCAACAUGGAUAAAACAACAAAAAUUGUAAUAAUACCAACUGUCAAUUGAUGGAGUAGAAAAUGACCUUAAUUGAUGGGGGUAAUUUUAUAUAAAUUGGCACUGUCACAAUUUGCAAUUUUGUGGCGUACAAUAUUUAGAUUAAAAAAUUCCCAAAAACAUUUACAUCAUUAUCUCCCUUUCAAGUGUGACGAGACCGUAACUCAAACACGACGAUCUGUCCGGCCUAGCGAACUUUCAAUGCCAAAGUUAGCUAGUCAGCCUACUCGGAAGCUUAGUAGAACUUAAGAAAGACUAAGCUUGUAGAAACUUGGCGAAGGAAACUAGUAGUUGGAAGAAAGAACUCUUUUAUUAAGAGAACUUUGNNNN